GACGAACGCUGGCGGCGUGCUUAACACAUGCAAGUCGAACGGAAAGGCCCGGUAUUUGUGGGGUGCUCGAGUGGCGAACGGGUGAGUAUCACGUGAGUAACCUGCCCUUGACUUCGGGAUACCUUCAGGAAACUGGGGCUAUUACCGGAUAUGAGCUCCUGCUGCACGGUGGGGGUGGGAAAAUUUCGGUGUUUUGGCAUGGAAACGCGGUUUAUCAGCUUGUUGGUGGGGUAGUGGCGUACCAAGGCUUUGACGGGUAGCCGGACUGGGAGUGUGACCGGCCACAAUGGCCCUGGGGUAGCGCCCGGACGCCUACGGGAGGCAGGAGUGGAGAUUAUUGCACACAGCGCGGCGGCAUGGUGCAGGGACGCCGCGUCCGGGAUCACGGUCUUCGGGUUGUAACCCGCUUUCGACUGUGACGAAGCGUGAGUGACGGUAAUGGGUAAAGAAGCACCGGCUAACUACGUG
rnacentral:rRNA from 1 species